GGAAUGAGUGGUACAUCACGUGCGGUAUUUAUGGUUUAUAUAUAUCGUCAAGUUCAAUUUUGUUUCCUCAGUUUUGGAAGUACCGAACAAAUCGACAACACGUUGAACAGCCGAAACAAAGUCCGUUAGGUUACAUCAGGCUGGUAGCAAUGAGGCAUCUUCUCGGGGUAAUCUAUUGCCUGACCAUCCUAUGCCACUUGGUGUGUGCAGUCACUUCCGCGGAAGAGGACACUUCCAAUGCGGUCGCACUCACGCGCAGUCGAAGAGAAAUUAUGGAUAGCUUCUACAGCACAAUAUGCAAGCUAACCUUGUAUAUGUGUGAUUCACAAAGAGGAUAAGAAUACAGUCAACGUCUUUAUCCGUUUGGAAAUCGACGCUCGGAGAUUAUAUAUUAUUGGUCAAUUAUAUGUGCCAAGCAAAUGACAUGUUCGUUGUGGGACAAUAAUUAUUUUUUG